rnacentral:rRNA from 1 species
GAUGAACGCUGGCGGCGUGCCUAAUACAUGCAAGUCGAGCGAACGGACGAGAAGCUUGCUUCUCUGAUGUUAGCGGCGGACGGGUGAGUAACACGUGGAUAACCUACCUAUAAGACUGGGAUAACUUCGGGAAACCGGAGCUAAUACCGGAUAAUAUUUUGAACCGCAUGGUUCAAAAGUGAAAGACGGUCUUGCUGUCACUUAUAGAUGGAUCCGCGCUGCAUUAGCUAGUUGGUAAGGUAACGGCUUACCAAGGCAACGAUGCAUAGCCGACCUGAGAGGGUGAUCGGCAACACUGGAACUGAGACACGGUCCAGACUCCUACGGGAGGCAGCAGUAGGGAAUCUUCCGCAAUGGGCGAAAGCCUGACGGAGCAACGCCGCGUGAGUGAUGAAGGUCUUCGGAUCGUAAACUCUGUUAUUAGGGAAGAACAUAUGUGUAAGUAACUGUGCACAUCUUGACGGUACCUAAUCAGAAAGCCACGGCUAACUACGUG